GGCACUGUAGCUCAAUGGAUAGAGCAUCCGCCUACGGAGCGGAAGGUCGAAGGUUCGACCCCUUCCUGUGUCA
rfam:Helicosporidium sp. ATCC 50920 contig-2020, whole genome shotgun sequence.